AGCUCGUGUAUUUAAUCCCUGUUUCCCCUCAGUGUCAGCAUGUUCAGUAUUUCAACUCAAUUGAACUGAAUUUUCUCGACCUCACCUUUGCUUUUUUUUUUGGACACCCCGACUGUCUACAUGCUCACCAACCUACACCGUCUGAAAAGACAGCAUCAAUCCCAGCUCAGUUCUGGGAAAUAAAAAACUUAGGACGAGAUGAGGAGAUCAAGAAAGAGAGGAGGUGAAGAAGAUGAGAGAAGAGCAGUCACAGGGCAGAAAAAUGAGAUUUAUCCCCGGAGACGAGACACAGUGGUGAUGUGGACUGGUGCAUGAAGAUGGGACGUUUGAUGAGGGGCUUCUAGUUGGACCAUUUGAAGGGAGAUGACCAGGAGCUGAGGUGGUGCAGGGGUGCAGACUUCUUCCUGCUGUAUUCUCACCUGGACUCACUCAGACAUUUUCGGGACAUUCUCUGAGGAAUAUCUGAGGAAAAUGUCCAGACUCAAGAUAAUGAUGAUCCUGACAUGACUUACAGUGACCUCAACUCAUCAUCUGCUGCCUCACGUAUGGUUCAAUACUGAGAUGUUUCUUUUGUACUUCAAUCUUUUUGAUUUGAGCUGUAUCAUGAAUCUUCUCUGUCGAACAGAUCGGCGUUGUAAUUAACUCAUAUAUUCAAGUAAGAACAACUGAAGCUAUAUCAUUUGACCUGUGUAUUUACAGCUGUUAGUGCAGCUAAGUACAAGUUUUUCUUUCAUCACCUGAGACAGUGAGCAUGAACAACAUUGAUGAAACGACUUGAAAACCAGGCCGUGGAGGAUGCAGUGGAGGGAGGGAGCGCUGGUGGUUGGUGCUUUGGGAUGAACCUCGGUAAUUAAAAGCUGCUGAAGGAAAAUUAAUCUGCUGAGUGCUGAAUGUGAAAGAGAGAGGGAGAAACUCCUACUGGAUUUGUUACAGUGAUUCCAAUUAUAAUUAUUUUCAUCGUCUUCAC